GUUUGACUAGGAAGGGAAGUGACUCAAAGGUCUAAUCCCUAACUGAUUGUCCAAGAGAGUCCCUGGGCCCUAUCUGUGAGGAACUUGGGGAGACUGAGCACUUACUGGUUAUUAAUGUUUUUUGAAGUUAUAAUGCAACCAGUGUAACUAUUCAAGAAUGUGUUUUUUCUCUCAGUAAACAACAUUACAGGGCCUUCUCAGUUACAAGUGGAUUCAGAAAUCUCUGCAGACCUGACUGUUAGAAGAAUUUUCUGGGUACCAAGGAGCUACUGCCUCUGUGGCUUCUUUCCAACCCCUACCAAAGUGUAAAUUAUCCCCCAAGACACAAGGCUAACGCUGUCUUGCCCUUGGGAGUGCCUUACCCUAGAGAAGUGUCACUUGGGAGACAUCAAAUUCCCUGACCUUGCCCACACAUGACAGCUUGUGAGAACUCCUGAGGAACUAGAGAUUAGGAAAGGAAACAUCAUCAAACAGCUCUCCAGUCUGCCUCUGCCACCUCCUGUGCCUUCAGCCACUGAGCAGAUGGAGCCGUGGCAUUUGUUAGGAGCCUGGGAUGCAUUCAGGAGCAUGUCCUCAUUCUCACAAUGGGCUCAAUCCCCAGGAUCUGAGCAUCGAUAGCCUUCAAUAUCCCUCUAACCUCCUUUUGCUGUGCAAUGCAUCUAUGCUCACCCGCUGAUUUCACACUGUAUCUCUUUCAUCCCCUGUCUCACGAUGGACUCCUGCCGUGCUAGAAGCACCUGUCUGUGUCCUUCCUAACAAGUUGUACACACGGUCAGAGCAUGGAAAAUGACAGUCUCCUAGGGGUGAUCCCUCCCCGGGGUUCCUCUUUCCCAAAUGAUCCAAGAGGUCACUGGGAGUCUUCCUCACACAGCCCUUCUGUAGGGAGCUGACGGCUUCUACCCACCUAGCUGGGAAUUCCUGUGGCUUUGCCAAACUCUGAACUGGACAAGGGAGGAGGUGACAACUGUCACAGUCAUGACUAGUGAGAAAUGCAAAGAGUAAUAUGAGACAGAUCAACUGAAGUGUGCCCCCAGUGAACCAUGCCUCUUCACUGUUCAUUCUUCAAGUCCAUAUUCAGACUCCUUCUGCCUUGGAGCAACAGCAAUCCUCUGGGGUCUGGAAGGAUAGGAGGAUCCAUUUCUGGCUAGGAGUUUCAGGUUCUACCACUACAGGCCUGCUGUGACAGAUUUCUCUUGGCCUGACAAAAGACACAAGUCGACUUACCCCAGAAAGGGAACUUGCAACAGACCAGAGUAACGAUUGCAGCAUUGUGCAAUUUGGUAAAUCAGUGAAAUUUUUUUCUGGGGAUACUCAUAAGGAUAACUCAAAUGUGGCUGAAUCACCAGAAAAGUUGACCCCAACAUAGAAGACACCUCCCCCAAAUUGAAAGCCUGGAGCUUCCUACACAAUUGGGAGGCAGCUUCACUCAGUCAGUCUCUCCCUCUCCCCUGUCUCUCUCCAUCUCUCUCUGUCUUUGUCUCUCUUUCUCUAUGUUUCUGUCUCUCUUUCUCUCUGUCUCUCUGUCUCUGUCUCUGAACUUUGGCAGCACAAAGUCUUCAGUCUUCACCCUAGCAAUUCUUUACUCCUUUUUAUACUGCUGAAUAGGUGCCCUCAAGGAUCUUUCAAGUUUUUGUUCUCCUGGACAUGUGACCUUUGGUUUACUUCCUGAGUCUUCAAAAUGCCUUCUUCCUUGCUGGGGGAAAUGUAUCAAUUGGAAGGGAACACUACAAUUUGGAAGAAAAUACCAUACUCCAAGAUCAUAACUUCAGGAGAAAUAUAACACCCCAGUUUAGACUUGUCACUGUAAACUGCUUUGUGUUCUCUUCAGGAGGUGACAUUGACAUGGGCAAUAGAGUGACUUUGUCCUAGAGAGGCAAGAAGAUGACAUAGGCUAAGAUAUGCGUGUCUGGGAACAAAGGAGCAACUCCUAAGAGUGUGAUGGUUAACAUUUGUCAACCUUUGACAGAAUCCACGAUCAUCUAGUGGACAAAUGAUUGGUUCCCCGCCCCCCAGGAGGACUGAUCACAGCUGGAGAUGUCAGACUGUUCUGAAGAUGGCCUACAAAGACUCACAAAGAAUGUUGCUGGCUGGUUUCAUUGGAGAAGAAAAGAGAAGAGAAAAGAGAAGAGAAGAGAAGAGAAGAGAAGAGAAGAGAAGAGAAGAGAAGAGGACACCCAGAACCAAUCAGAUUUCAAGCAAGGCUGUGAAUAGACUGGAGACGGCACAGAUACACGAACAGCCAAGCACAGCCAUGAUGGGUAUAGAUUUGGGAUGGAAGGUAAUGGGCAGAAGCUGAGAUGGACAGGGUGGGGUCUAAAUGACUCUACACCUUUAUAAAUCUCAAGGUAAUGAUCAGCACUGUAUUUUCUCUGAACAUUUAACCUUAGCACUGAGCCAAAGCCUGGCUUCAACAAAAUGUCAGUCAGAUGGAAUGAGUGAGGAUCCCAUGCAUUUCUUACAAGUUUUUGUUGCUAUAGUUGGUUGGUUUGCUUUGUUGGCUUGUUUACCUUCUCUGGGAGGUAUCUUAAUAGGCUUUUUGUAUAUUUAUGAAACUACAUUCCUAACCUCUAGAAAAAAGACACACACACACACACACACACACACACACACACUUUGUAUGAAGUUCUAUGGAAGAGUUAGGGGAAGGACUCAAGGAACUAAAAGGGAUGGCAACCCUAUAGGAAGACCAACAGUAUCAACUAACCUAGACCCCUGGGAGCUCUGAAUGACUAAGCCACCAACCAAAGAGCAUAUAUGGGCUGGUCCAUGGCCCUUGCACAUAUGUAGCAGAAGACUGCCUUGUCUGGCCUCAGUGGGAGAGGAUGCACCUAAUCCUGUAGAGACAAAACCUAAAGGAAGAACAAA
rnacentral:lncRNA from 1 species